AACCCAUGGUGAGGGCACUUUCUCAGUAAGUCCUUAUACCUCUCCCAUGCAUCAUAUAAGGUUUCUAAGUCCAUCUGUACAAAUGAGGAGAUAUCAUUCCUCAUAUU
rfam:Gossypium hirsutum cultivar TM-1 chromosome 10, whole genome shotgun sequence